rnacentral:tRNA from 1 species
GUCCCCAUUGCCUAAUGGAUAAGGCGCGACCCUCCGGAGGUCGAGAUCGAGGUUCGAAUCCUCGUGGGGACA